UGGGGAAUUUUGCGCAAUGGGCGAAAGCCUGACGCAGCGACGCCGCGUGAAGGAUGAAGGUUCUCGUAAUUGUAAACUUCUGUCAGGGGGGAUUAAAUGUAGGGGUGCUAAUACCAUUUCUACUUGACUUAACCCCCAGAGGAAGCCCCGGCUAACUACGUGCCAGCAGCCGCGGUAAUACGUAGGGGGCAAGCGUUACUCGGAUUUACUGGGCGUAAAGCGAGCUAAGGUGGUUUGAUAAGUCAGAGGUGAAAUCCCUUGGCCUAACCAAGGAACUGCCUUUGAUACUGUCAGACUUGAGGACAGGAGAGGAAAGUGGAAUUCCCGGUGUAGCGGUGGAAUGCGUAGAUAUCGGGAGGAACACCAGAGGCGAAGGCGGCUUUCUGGACUGUUCCUGACACUGACGCUCGAAAGCUAGGGGAGCAAACAGG
rnacentral:rRNA from 1 species